UAGAGGACUACAUAGAGCAACUUCAGGAA
rnacentral:piRNA from 1 species